GGAAGCGUCGUUCGUGAGAAAAAUAGAUUUCCCCUAUCUUCUUAUAGUUGGUACAAUGACUGUUUGUCUGUUUGAAGGACUUUAGUUAAUUAAAUCUUUAGAUUUAUAACGGGUCCUCAGGCUAGCUGAACAUGUACUGACCUGUGUGUGGCGAGCCACGGGACAGAAAUCGUUGGAAUGUUUACUGUCGCGUGCCGCUACAACUAUUUCUUUUAAGGAGAGCUAUAGAAUUACUCCAUACCUCUGUUAGGUAAAAACGUUCAUCCCUUGACCGCGGCUACGUUCGGCGACUGGUUGUCGCCUCGAGUCCAAGCUCACUAUCAUAAAUCUGGAACAAAUACAAUCGGAUUGAAUGGCGGCAAUCGCUUAAUUACGGCUAUGGUAGAAUCUAGAUUAAUGUGUUAAGGGACUUUCCCAAAAUUCCAAAGGAGAGGCUCCGGUGUCCUUUCAUCUCUGAUAUAUAUGUAUGCUCAGAUUUCAGAGCUUAGUUUUAGGAGUAAUGUAAUAUCGUAAGGUAGUUCGAAUUAGAAAUCAGUUGAAAAUAGAUAAAACCGUGUACGUCGUCUUUCUGUGGUUCGUUUACAUUUAAGAGUGCCUACGUGACUAAAGGCACGUAGUUGGUAGUUCUUACAUAGGUAUGAGAGAAACAAUAGACAACGUUAGAAGAAGGACGGUUUCGCUAUCCAAGGCGGGACGACCGAAAGAUCAGAGUGUGCGAGUCGAAAAGUGUGCGUGUUGCGAGAAUCAGAGCUAAUUGAGUCGUCGAAGAGUAGAGUCGUUAGAGGUAAUCGAGUCGUCGAAGAGUAGAGUCGUGAGAAUUGAUAGAGUUGUUAGAGAGAGAGAGAGAGAGAGUGUGUGUGUGUGUUAGAUUCGUUGUGACGAGGGUGGUCAAAUAACUGUAAAGUUAUUUGAUAUAGAUACGAGUAUUGCAUUUAGUUUCCGUUAAAUAAACAUCGUUUUCUGUCCAAUUUAUAUUUGUAUAUUCAAUUUAAUAUUAAUAAAUUGUAAGUAAUCGGAAAAAAAA